rnacentral:rRNA from 1 species
AGCUUGCUUCAACCGCCGGCGACCGGCGCACGGGUGAGUAACACGUAUCCAACCUGCCGAUAACUCUGGGAUAGCCUUUCGAAAGAAAGAUUAAUACCGGAUAGCAUAGUUUUCCCGCAUGGAAGAACUAUUAAAGAAUUUCGGUUAUCGAUGGGGAUGCGUUCCAUUAGGCAGUUGGCGGGGUAACGGCCCACCAAACCGACGAUGGAUAGGGGUUCUGAGAGGAAGGUCCCCCACAUUGGAACUGAGACACGGUCCAAACUCCUACGGGAGGCAGCAGUGAGGAAUAUUGGUCAAUGGACGAGAGUCUGAACCAGCCAAGUAGCGUGAAGGAUGACUGCCCUAUGGGUUGUAAACUUCUUUUAUACGGGAAUAAAGUUAGCCACGUGUGGUUUUUUGCAUGUACCGUAUGAAUAAGGAUCGGCUAACUCCGUGCCAGCAGCCGCGGUAAUACGGAGGAUCCGAGCGUUAUCCGGAUUUAUUGGGUUUAAAGGGAGCGUAGGCGGGGUAUUAAGUCAGUUGUGAAAGUUUGCGGCUCAACCGUAAAAUUGCAGUUGAUACUGGUAUCCUUGAGUGCAGCAGAGGUGGGCGGAAUUCGUGGUGUAGCGGUGAAAUGCUUAGAUAUCACGAAGAACUCCGAUUGCGAAGGCAGCUCACUGGAGUGUAACUGA